UACGUAGGAUGCAAGCGUUGUCCGGAAUUAUUGGGCGUAAAGAGCUCGUAGGCGGUCUGUCACGUCGGCUGUGAAAUCCCGAGGCUCAACCUCGGGUCUGCAGUCGAUACGGGCAAACUAGAGUAUUGCAGGGGAGACUGGAAUUCCUGGUGUAGCGGUGAAAUGCGCAGAUAUCAGGAGGAACACCGGUGGCGAAGGCGGGUCUCUGGGCAAUAACUGACGCUGAGGAGCGAAAGCGUGGGGAGCGAACAGG
rnacentral:rRNA from 1 species